rnacentral:rRNA from 1 species
AUUGAACGCUGGCGGAAUGCUUUACACAUGCAAGUCGAGCGGCAGCACGGGGGCAACCCUGGUGGCGAGCGGCGAACGGGUGAGUAACACAUCGGAACGUACCCUGUCGUGGGGGAUAACGAGUCGAAAGAUUCGCUAAUACCGCAUACGACCCGGGGGUGAAAGCGGGGGAUCGCAAGACCUCGCGCGACUGGAGCGGCCGAUGGCGGAUUAGCUAGUUGGUGGGGUAAAGGCCCACCAAGGCGACGAUCCGUAGCGGGUCUGAGAGGACGGCCCGCCACACUGGGACUGAGACACGGCCCAGACUCCUACGGGAGGCAGCAGUGGGGAAUUUUGGACAAUGGGGGGCAACCCUGAUCCAGCCAUUCCGCGUGAGUGAAGAAGGCCUGGUGUAAGCUCUUCGUGGGAGAAUAGCUUCGGCUAAUACCUGGAGUAGAUGACGGUACCC